rnacentral:rRNA from 1 species
CUACGGAGGGUGCAAGCGUUAAUCGGAAUUACUGGGCGUAAAGCGCGCGUAGGCGGUUGUUUAAGUCGGAUGUGAAAGCCCUGGGCUCAACCUGGGAACUGCAUUCGAUACUGGGCAACUAGAGUAUGAAAGAGGGAGGUAGAAUUCCAUGUGUAGCGGUGAAAUGCGUAGAUAUGUGGAGGAAUACCAGUGGCGAAGGCGGCCUCCUGGUUCAAUACUGACGCUGAGGUGCGAAAGCGUGGGGAGCAAACAGGAUUAGAUACCCUUGUAGUCC